UGCAAGUCGAACGCACUCUCGUUUAGAUUGAAGGAGCUUGCUCCUGAUUGAUAAACAUUUGAGUGAGUGGCGGACGGGUGAGUAACACGUGGGUAACCUGCCCUAAAGUGGGGGAUAACAUUUGGAAACAGAUGCUAAUACCGCAUAAAACCUAACACCGCAGGUGUAGGGUUGAAAGAUGGUUUCGGCUAUCACUUUAGGAUGGACCCGCGGUGCAUUAGUUAGUUGGUGAGGUAAAGGCUCACCAAGACCGUGAUGCAUAGCCGACCUGAGAGGGUAAUCGGCCACACUGGGACUGAGACACGGCCCAGACUCCUACGGGAGGCAGCAGUAGGGAAUCUUCCACAAUGGACGAAAGUCUGAUGGAGCAACGCCGCGUGAGUGAAGAAGGUUUUCGGAUCGUAAAACUCUGUUGUUGGAGAAGAAUGUAUCUGAUAGUAACUGAUCAGGUAGUGACGGUAUCCAACCAGAAAGCCACGGCUAACUACGUGCCAGCAGCCGCGGUAAUACGUAGGUGGCAAGCGUUGUCCGGAUUUAUUGGGCGUAAAGCGAGCGCAGGCGGUUUCUUAAGUCUGAUGUGAAAGCCUUCGGCUCAACCGAAGAAGUGCAUCGGAAACUGGGAAACUUGAGUGCAGAAGAGGACAGUGGAACUCCAUGUGUAGCGGUGAAAUGCGUAGAUAUAUGGAAGAACACCAGUGGCGAAGGCGGCUGUCUGGUCUGUAACUGACGCUGAGGCUCGAAAGCAUGGGUAGCAAACAGGAUUAGAUACCCUGGUAGUCCAUGCCGUAAACGAUGAGUGCUAGGUGUUGGAGGGUUUCCGCCCUUCAGUGCCGCAGCUAACGCAUUAAGCACUCCGCCUGGGGAGUACGACCGCAAGGUUGAAACUCAAAGGAAUUGACGGGGGCCCGCACAAGCGGUGGAGCAUGUGGUUUAAUUCGAAGCAACGCGAAGAACCUUACCAGGUCUUGACAUCCUUUGACCACUCUAGAGAUAGAGCUUUCCCUUCGGGGACAAAGUGACAGGUGGUGCAUGGUUGUCGUCAGCUCGUGUCGUGAGAUGUUGGGUUAAGUCCCGCAACGAGCGCAACCCUUAUUACUAGUUGCCAGCAUUUAGUUGGGCACUCUAGUGAGACUGCCGGUGACAAACCGGAGGAAGGUGGGGACGACGUCAAAUCAUCAUGCCCCUUAUGACCUGGGCUACACACGUGCUACAAUGGAUGGUACAACGAGUUGCGAGACCGCGAGGUUUAGCUAAUCUCUUAAAACCAUUCUCAGUUCGGAUUGUAGGCUGCAACUCGCCUACAUGAAGCCGGAAUCGCUAGUAAUCGCGGAUCAGCAUGCCGCGGUGAAUACGUUCCCGGGCCU
rnacentral:rRNA from 2 species